GUUUACGCAGAAUGACAAUCAACUUUUCUAAUUCAUAUAAUUCUAAAAUCGUGUGAUCUGCCUGUAUGAGAAAAGGCUAUAGAUAUUUGGCUUACAUUCUAGCGAGCUUGUUGACAAUGGUAUGAAAAUAAGGUAAUAAUAUUGAAGCGGACGAAUUAAAAACUUACAUGAGUGGAAGCAUAAUAAACUUAAAACAUUUCACUAUUUGGGACAAUGGCCUAAUCACGAAACGAGAGAAAUUGAAGCUAAUUUGAGAGCGAAUUUUCUUGAUAAUUCUUUUAUCGGCCGAAUUUCCUUCAAAGUAAAGGAGGACGGAAUUACAAACGCAACUUAGAAGAAGUAACAGAACGGGGCAAUUUACUGUUUUAGAAAUUUCAAUUGUGAUCAGAACUCCGUCCUCGCUAGCAUGCGGUGUAAUUGAAAGUGUUUAAAUCGAUUCAAAUUGAAGCUGCUUUUAAACUACCGAAUACUGUUAACAUUAUGACUAACAAACGUUUAUUAAUAAUAUCCGGAUUGUUGUACUUUAACACUCCCUCGGGCGAACUGAUAUGCGUGGUGCGCGAUUGGAUUGUUUCUAAGAGGGCUUAGAAUUGAGCUAUGCCGAGUUCCACACAUAAUAAUAACUAAAGUGUUAAAAGGUGAACUGAUUACCCCUUAUCAACCAUUUAAUCGGCGGGAGCACGUAAUAAUUUGAUAGAAACAAAAGAUUGACCACUUAUCGUAGACGGUCUAUGUCUGACAAUUAAAAUUUUGUGUACAUUGGGCGUCUCGUUCAUGAAACGAUGAAUAAAUUAUAUCAGUGAUUCAUAAAUAAACAAUUUAUUUUGUUCCCCAAUUUUGACAGCCCUGACCCUAUGGAGAAGGAAGCUUACAAAAAGAACAUAAUAUCAACCAAUCCAAAAACGGAAUAAUAAAAAGCCCUCUUAUCAGAAAGUCUCAUCCUUGAAACAGAUUGAAAAAUUAAAUGCGAUGUAGCGAAAACUUGAUUUCAUCUUCAUUCAGUGCUUUCAUAAUCAAAAGGCAUUUUCGGUCAAAUGACCUCCUCAGAUGCAAUAACAGAAGUCAAUGUAGAUUGCUAACAGAUGCUACUCUUGUCGCUUCAUU